rnacentral:rRNA from 1 species
GACGAACGCUGGCGGCGUGCUUAACACAUGCAAGUCGAACGGAAAGGCCCUGCUUACAGGGUACUCGAGUGGCGAACGGGUGAGUAACACGUGGGUGAUCUGCCCUGCACUUCGGGAUAAGCCUGGGAAACUGGGUCUAAUACCGGAUAGGAGCCAUUUUUAGUGUGAUGGUUGGAAAGUUUUUUCGGUGUAGGAUGAGCUCGCGGCCUAUCAGCUUGUUGGUGGGGUAAUGGCCUACCAAGGCGGCGACGGGUAGCCGGCCUGAGAGGGUGGACGGCCACAUUGGGACUGAGAUACGGCCCAGACUCCUACGGGAGGCAGCAGUGGGGAAUAUUGCACAAUGGGCGCAAGCCUGAUGCAGCGACGCCGCGUGGGGGAUGACGGCCUUCGGGUUGUAAACUCUUUUCGCUAGGGACGAAGCUUUUUGUGACGGUACCUAGAUAAGAAGCACCGGCUAACUACGUG